UUAUUAAGGGGAUGGAAACCAAAGAAGACUUCCCCUUCUUGUUCUUCUUCUUCUUCUUCCCCUUUAGUGUUCCCCAAAGGGGAGACGAAGGGGUGUUCCCGUUCUUCAUCCCNUACGGGGAACUAAAGGGGACGGAGUCCCCUUUAGUUCAUCCCCUUUAGGGGAACUAAAGGGGAUGAAGAAGGGGUUCCCCUUUGGGGAAGAACUCUUCCCCUUCGUCUUCCCCUUUGGUUCCCCUAAAGGGGACGAACCCCUUCUUCAUCCCCUAAAGGGGAACCGUAGGGGAGUUCUUCCCCGAAGGGGAACCCCUUCGGUUCCCCUAAAGGGGACGAGCACCCCUUUGGUUCAUCCCCUUUAGGGGAACUAAAGAAGACGAACUAAAGAAGACGAACACUAACGGGGAAGAAGAAGAAGAAGACUUUGGGGGAUGACGGAUGACAAGGGGAACCAAAGGGGUUGUCCCUACUUGUUCUUUAUUUUAUGAAAACCGAAGUGAUCCCCUAGGGGACCGAAGGGUAAUCCCUUGUCAUUACCUUUAGUUCAUCCCCUAAAGGGUUUCCAAAGUUUGUUCCCCUUUAGGGGAAGACAACCCCGAAGGGGCACGCUGUAAUUUUGUAGUUUCGGCCGGAGGCCUAUAACUUACUGUAAGGUAUCCAACGAACUUACUUUACAACGACGGACAAAGCUCGAAGAUAUUUU
rnacentral:lncRNA from 1 species